AGGAAGUUGAUCCUUGUGAAGAUCUAAGUGACGAGGACAUAAGAAUAGCUAUCCACAAUGCAACUGGUCCAAGAAAUGCGCUAUUUGUGCCAGAGGUCCCAUUUGAAGUUUUGGUUAGACGACAGAUCGCUAGGCUGCUUGAUCCUAGCCUCCAGUGCUUGCGAUUCGUCUAUGAUGAACUUAUAAAGAUUAGUCGUGCUUGUGAAACAGUUGAAAUGCAACGCUUCUCAGAGUUAAGAAGGCGACUAGAGGAUGUCACUGCAAGGUUUCUA
rnacentral:misc_RNA from 1 species